CCCACUUAUCUGCAAAAGCUGCUGCCUCACUACUGGCUCUUAGAACCCCUGUGCAAUGAAUGACAUCUGUGUAGUCCUUGACCUUCUCAAGUCCUUGUGGCAUUUGCUGCUUUGUCCCUUUUUCUCAGAACUUUUCCUCUUGGCCUCUGUGGCCUUGACCUCUCCCUGUCUCACCACAGUGAUGAUGUUCUUCUCCGCUGUAUCCUUUACUAGCUAAUCUUCCAUAAAUUAUGCUUGGAUGUUAAUGUCAUCCACAUUUUCGCCUCAUAUCUCUUUGUUAGAACUUUGAGAGCUUCUUCAAUUCUUUAGUUCCAGAUGUCAACUCCCUACAAAUGUCUUCCAAAUCACCAUUUGAUUGAUUCUUUCUGCAGUUCACUCCAGAUAGCACUUUAAAGUCAAUAUGUUGACUUUAAAAACCAAACUCAUUGUCUUUUUUGUCUUUGAUCUCUUUUUCACUCAGGAUCUUACCUCAUUCAACCACAUCAUCAUCUCCUUAGUCAUUUUUCUAAGUAUUUUCUUUUUUCUCACUACCAAUUCUUCUUUCUAAUUAUUUGUCAAAUAUAGUUGAUUAUGUUUUUAAAAAUGUGAUAUUCCCUUUUCCUUUUGGCUUGACAUUACGUAGCCCAUGUUCUUUUAUAACUGACCUAGGAAUUCAAAGCAGCCACCCCAUAUAGCUCCACACCUUCACUCUCUGAUCUCCAGACCACCUUAUCUGUUGCAGAACAAUUAUAAUAAUUCAUUCCUUCAGUUACAUAAGGACCAUAUGACAAGCUCUGUUGUAGGUGCUAAGGGCACAGUGGUUGGUGGUCAAAACAGACACAUGCUCAUCCUCCCUGGAAUUUACAUUCUCAUUGGAUGAGACAGAUAAGAAGCAAGUAAUGUAUGUCAGAUGCAAAACAUGCUGACUAUGGAG
rnacentral:lncRNA from 1 species